rnacentral:rRNA from 1 species
UACGUAGGUGGCGAGCGUUGUCCGGAUUUAUUGGGCGUAAAGCGCGCGCAGGUGGUGCGGUAAGUCUGUCGUGAAAUCUCCCGGCUCAACUGGGAGGUGCGGUGGAGACUGCCGGACUGGAGGCACUCAGAGGCCGGUGGAAUUCCCGGUGUAGUGGUGAAAUGCGUAGAGAUCGGGAGGAACACCAGUGGCGAAGGCGGCCGGCUGGGGGUGACCUGACGCUGAGGCGCGAAAGCGUGGGGAGCGAACCGG